GAUGAAUAACGCAGCGAAAUGCGAUAAGUAAUGUGAAUUGCAGAAUUCAGUGAAUCAUCGAAUCUUUGAACGCACCUUGCGCCCUUUGGCCAUUCCGAAGGGCAUGCCUGUUUGAGUAUCAUGAACACCUCAACUCUCAUGGCUCGCCAUGAUGAGCUUGGACUUUGGGGGUCUUGCUGGCCUGUGGUCGGCUCCUCUCAAAUGGAUCAGCUUGCCAGUGUUUGGUGGCAUCACAGGUGUGAUAACUAUCUGCGCUUGUGGUUUUCCAUCAGAUAACCUUCAGUGAUGGAGGUUCGCUGGAGCUCAUAAACGUCUCCCCUAAGCGGGGACAGCCCUUUGAAUGUUUGAUCUCAAAUCAGGUAGGACUACCCGCUGAACUUAAGCAUAUCAAUAAGCGGAGGA
rnacentral:misc_RNA from 1 species